UACAGACAUACCAUUUUUUUUGUGUGUGGUAAAUUCUUCCAAUUUCUCACCUUGUAUUCCCAGCACUGCCCUAACCGGACCUGGGGAGUUUCAUCUUACUUCUUUCAAUACAAAGAUUGUGAAUAUCUAUGAACUCUUUUAAGACAAUUUGUAUUCUGCCAUCAGGCUUCCUAAGCCUCCUUGUGGAUCCACAUGCAACAGAAUUAGAACUUUCAAGGCAGUCACCAAACAUGUAACUGACAGCUUUUUAAAAAAAUUCAAAAUGAGAUUAACAAGCACCAAAGGUGUUAUUCUCUUGUAUUUAUUUUAGCAGCAGCAUUCCAUCACUAUGUUUCUUCCAUUUCAGAAAUCUGCAAAACUGCUGUAGAAUAUCAAGCAAUUGUUCUUGUAAAGUGAAUUUUUAUUUUUUAGCUCACUGCAAAACAUCUAUUCACCCAUGUUUUAGUCUUUUGUUCAUUCUCUUCCAAGUUUGUACUUGGGAAAACAACAGGACACCAACCAGACAAGCUCAUUACCAUUGUCUGCAGAUAAUCUUUUACAGUCGGUGUGAAAAAUCUCACCCUGAACUAUGGCGGCUAUAGUGAAAAGAACCAUGGACACAAGUAUGACUUGUGAAUAUGAUUCAUAAAGCACCCAGAGCCCCAGUGUGGCAACACCAGAUGAAUGAAAAAGGUUCUUCUACCAAGUUAUCAAAAUCAUGUCAUUCUCACUUUCCCUCAAUAGUACCCAAAUUUUAAAAAGAAUAUAAGUAUAAUGAUGAAAUACUACAAAAGUACCAUGAGAUCACACUGCACUCAAUGAAAAUUAUCCAUGUUUAUGAAAAUAAAGAUCUGUAUCCAAAAAAGAUAGCGAAAUGUCCACAAUAAAUUAUAAACACCAGAACAUCGAGGACUUUGAUCCCUAUAUCCCAAGGCUUAGAAAACUGCCCAGCACCUAAUAACAAUAUGAACUUUUGAACAUUUCACCACGUGCCAGGCACAGUUCUGAUAGGCUCCAUGUUUUAACUUAAGGCUUACAGGCCACCAGUGAGUCUAUAAAGUUUCAGUUUAUAUAUGAGAACUGAAGCACGGGGUUAGAUAAUCUUGUGAGACAACACAAGUUAGUAGCAGAUGGGUUAAACUCAGGCCUCGCAUGUCUAAAAUAUGCACACUUACAUGCUUGUUGAAAAAAACUGUUGAUUAGGAUCAGACUAGCUUUAGAAAAUACAAGUUAAAAAAGGCAAUAGACUUUGGCCAAUUAUUUGGGUAAAACGUCAAAUGUCAGAUAUGUCGAGGCAUGGGUAGCCUUCUAAGGAGCCAUGGCUAUGGAAGGAAAAAGUUUGACUUAACAAAUAGGAAAGUGAGAGAAAUAACGAAACAGUAAAAUAACAGGAUCGUGAUGGGGCAGAGGUGGCCUGCCCAGACCUAAAUGCCUCGCGGGAGACGAGGGGACGACUCAGCAGGACAGAAGGGAGGGAAGCUCCAGACGCCAGGGCCCUCUUCCAGAUGAAAGAACCUCCCAUCCUAAGUGUCUGGCGUUCCAGGAACACCUUCGCUGCUGAGCCGGCUCAGUGAGGCAGACCGGCCAAGCCUUCAGCCCACCUCAGGGCCGCGCAACGCAGCAGCUCCGCGCACGCGUAACAGGAGGAGACACCGCCCACACGCUAGACGCGCUGUGAUUGGCCCCAGCUACCCCCCGAUCGAGAUUCCUAUUGGUCCCAGGUUAGGUGCCGAGCGUGCGCACUUUGGACGUGGGCGCGUGUGUGGAUUGGGAGGAGGUCGCGCUGUCCAUGGGCGUCCCUGGCCUGCGCCGCCCGGAGAUGAUAAAUAGCCAAAGAUGUCAGUGGCACUCAUGGACAUAGUAAGCAUAGUAGGAGCUGAAAAACUAGAAGCAAUGAAAAUGUCAACUAUUUUGACCUAAAAGAAGCAGUGUCUUCGGAACAUUUGGUCAUAAAACCAGAAAUUAAAGGAUGAGAAAAACAUUUUUCUGAAGCUUAUACUUUCACAUUUACUAGAGAGCAUAUUUGUAUGGAUGGGGUUGAGUAAACACUCAACAAAAGUUUCUUUAAAAAGAAGAAACCAUCCUGGUUUGAUGUUACAUAAUCACCAGUUACCCACUGCUCCCUUCCCUCCCCAAACUGCCCUGUUGCUUGCAGGCUCACCUGAGCUGAGAGGCAGCCCUCACUCCCCAUUGGCACCUCACUGGGGCCUUCUUUAUACCCUGGAGAACUUCACAGGGAAUCUGUAUCUGUAACACAAAGGCUUCCUGGUCCAGAUGUAGAUACUAGGUCUGACUGGAUAUUUAAGUCCUGCGGACUUACUCUGCCAAAAUUAUUUAAUCAUAUAAAAAUAAUUUAUAAUUCUUACAAAGUAUCCCAUUCAUAAGAUAAUGAAUGUUGGGGUUAUUGCAUUUACUUGCACAUGUACAGUAUACAAGAUUAUACAUUAAUAAUAAUGUUUUCAAAUAGUUAUUGUCAAAGCUGUUUUUCUUAUGUUUAUGAAAGUGCUUAUAAAAUUAAUGUUUUAUGAGGCUAGAGAUGUAUAUUUUGUAAUUUCAUUCUGAUAUUUGUUAAUACUCACUUCCACUGCUGGGUUUGGUUGAUGAGAUUGGCAUUGUCUAAUUUCAAGCUUUUUGAGUGUGUACUCUUUCAUGGCAAGUACAAAAUAACUAGUAAAAAAUAUACAAAUAUGCUUAACAAUCAGUAGACUUUCUCACAUUGAUUACUUACAACAGCUUUAGGUGGGGUGAAUCAGAUGCCUGUAUUACAGAAGCAUCUAAUGCAAAGCAAAAUCAAAUGACUUGUAUGAGCGCACAGAGGUAGGUGUGGAAGAAAGUGAAACACUAUUUUAGGUUUUAGUUACACUCUGCUGUGGUGUGCUGCCUCAUAUUUGCAUUAACCUGCAAAUACUAGGGGUUAUGAAUUGUUUCUAAGUCUAUUAUUAAAAAUAGCCUUGCUUCAUUUCUUCCUAAAAUGGAGACAAACGUGUAUAGUGUCUAUCUUACCAGUAUGUGUAAGAAUAAUAUCUUAAUGUGUGUAACAUGUUUAUAGGAACCUGUAUUUCAAAGAGCUAUUUUUGCAAGUGAGACUAACCUUCUAAGAAACUUUUUUAUUCAAACUUUUUUCUCCAUUUAUAACUGUUCUAUUAUUUCUUAAUGUUCAGAACCCUUUUCAUUAUCUGUAAGGCUAAGUUUUAGGUAAGUUAUGAGAAAAUAAUAAUAAUAUAUGGAAAAGAAAUGAAUGAGGAGUCAAGAUGUCUGUCAAUCAAGAAUGAGUAUGUCAGCCCUUGUAUUAUGAUUUUACCUGGGAGGUGAUAAUUAUUGGAUGAUGUAAUGUAAGGGCAGUGAUACUACAUGGUAUGUAAGACUGUUAAAAUCAUUGAGGUAAGAUAUUACUUGAACUAAGCACAGAGAUACAGACAGAUUUUUAAUGCAUUUAAUUAUCAAAAUAUCUAAAUUAAAGAUUUGGUGUGGCUGUUCACUGGAAACAAAUGGCAGACAAACAGAAUAUUUCUUGGAGUCAUAAAUGACAUCAUACUGUUUCCAACUUUCUGUGUAGCUUCUUUCUUCAGUUGGUCUUUGCUUAGAUUUCCCUGUGUCAGAGAAGACUUCCCUGGACAUCAGUGACAGUUAUUGAUUGCUCAUGCUAUGAGCUCUUCCCAUUUCUCAGCCCGCUUGCAGUAGGUGAGGCCAUGAUACUAGUUAUAGCUGAUUGCUUAAAGACUUUAAGGCUCCAUAUGUGACUUUCCAGCUCUUGUCCACUGCUACUCUGGCAGGACUACGGAGGUGCGCCGUGUUUCAGAUACGGCAGCCUCCAUCCGCCUGUGUCCCUGAAUGACUAGAGCACAACCACUGGUGACCUGUGGUGGACACAGAAUGUGGGUAAGAAAUAAACUUAUGCUACACCACUGGGGUUCAGGGGCUAACUUGUUACCACAGCAUAGUCAGCCUUUUCUAGUACCCCAUUCUGUCUAAAUUUUGCAGUCCUACCCCACUCCAUGCCUCCCCAACCCUUCACUCUGCUUAGUUUCUUUGUAGCACUGGUCACUGCAUGACCUGUCUUUGUUUUACUUUCUCACAUCACUUCUCCCUGCCUCCAUGCACAUACACAAAAAUUUAAACUCCAUGCCUGGCCAAAAUAAAUGUUUGGUAAAUAAAUUCUGCCAGUUCUGUUUGCAAUUUCUCAGAAGCAAGGAAAGAAAUCCUAUAUAAAGUGGAUCUGUGCUUUGGCAAUUUUCAUUUAGGGUAAUUGCCCUUUUUUAAAAUGGCUGUGCAUUUUUUAUGAUGAAUAUAAAGUAUUUAGCGGAAAUAUUUUUUAUUAAAAUUGUUGAGCUUGUGGAAUGACUCUAGCAGCCUGUGUGAAAGAAACACUAUGCUAGAGAGUCGUCUUUCUGCCAGGUGUAAUCGUUACAUUUAGCUCUAGUUCUCCAUGGGAGAUCCAUGCAGAGAUGUGAAAAUGGGAUGUGUCUUCCUUCUUGAAAGUUGCUCCAGGUUUUGGCUUCAGGUGCCUCCUGUUUUCUGCCCUCUCUUUUCCCUGGGAGUUCCUUCUGUUUACUUUCAUGAGGACUCUGGGCAUAAAACAUAUUUGUAUACCUGGGUGUGUGGGAAGGAAUUGAAGGCAAAGGUAGCAGUCAUUUCAGGCUGAAGAUGUUAAGUAGUCAUCUAGCACUUGGUUUUUGUAGAACCUCCUGUGGCAAUCUCCACAGUGUUGUAUUGGAAAGAAAUCUUGUGUAAGAACUGGUCUAAGGGCCAGUGACCGUGAAUGAUGGUUGUGGUGACAGCAUGGCCAUUUUAGAGACAGGCAGACCAGAUAUUGGUUACUUUGAUUUUAGUUGACAAAGUUUACUUGCUUUUAAGUUUUGAAACAAUACAGCAGUGUGAACUUCAAGUUGUAAACUUUCAUUUAGAAAGUUCAAAAUUUAGUUCAAAUAUAAAAUAUUCUGAAUUUGAAUAAAAACUUUAAAACU